CAUCAUUCACGCAAUUUAUUAUUUAUAUUUACGCAAAUAGGUCAUUAUUUCUUUCAUGAAUUGAUAAAAAAGACGUAUUAUAUCACACAGAGUUUGGUUUACUGCUUUGGAGGAUGCUUCUGUCGAGUUUUGACAGGACAUUAUCCACGUUCCCUGCCCGACUCCCACCAUUACAGUUGGGACAUUGCCCUGCAAGGCUUCUUCAUCCAUCAUGCCAACCAGACUGGUCCAAUUUGACAGAAAUGCGGUGUCAUCGUAGUUCGGAGUAUGUGCAUAGCACUCAGGACAACAAGCAGUUUAUUUGUUUGAUGAGACUGAAUUGCCGAGGAAGGGAGCAGACACUGUUGUGAGAAUGAUGUUCACUACUUCAAAUAUCAUGGUCUGGAGAAGGAAAGCCGAAAUUGGCAGUUUGGUCCAUGAAAAAGCAGCAUACAGUCCUGGCUUUGUCAUACUUUCAGCAUACAGUCUUGGCUUUGUGCAAACACAGAUAUGGUCUUGUUUACCUUGAUAAAAACCACAGCAGUUGUUUAACCUGAACUCCUUCCAAAAUCUGCAUCAAGGGGAUGGAUCUUGAAUGGCAGUGGUAUUCAAAUGACAAGAUCAGAGAAUACAGCAGAUUUGGCAUUGAUAAAGACAGUGUGCCCUAGAAAGUCUCAACCAAAGCAUUGAACAAACUGUAUAACCUAUGUUUAUUUACAAUGUACUAUGUACACGUCAUAAUAAAUAUUUCUGUCUGUCUGUCAGUCCUGUUAAUUAACUUUUUAGAGCUGUUUGUUUGGACUAGUGUUUGCCAUUCAGAAAUAAGUAAUAACAUUAUUUCACAGUCUAAGAAAACUGUAGGUAUUAAAAACUGAUAUUUUAAAUAAUUUAACUGUAACUAUUGAAACAAACCUCUUAGGGGUUUAGCCAGGUUUAAGAAAGACAGGGAGCCACAGAAAAGAGACUGGUUUCCAUGUGUCAAGAGGGCACCCUUUAUUGUGUAGAAUUUUAACAUUUUGAAUGUGACAGAAAAUGUUAGGUUACUUAGUAUAUGUUUAAUUGAAGAACUAUUAGGUUUCAAUUAUGUAAAACCUGUGUGUAUUUAUAAUCAUGUUAAUAUAAAGUUAUUAUCAAACCUAAAUUGAUAUUUGACCGUCUUAAGCUUUUUAUUCUAUGAAGGCAGGAGCUUGCCAAUCUUGCUCUUCAUGAUGGGUGCUUCCAAAAAAGAACAGGGUGCAGCAACCUUCCAUAACUCUUUAGCUAAUACCCUUAUAUAUAAUUUUUCAUCAAGUUAAGUAACAUUGACUAUUAACAAAUGGUGAAGUGAUAACAAAUGAUGAAGUGAUAAUUUUCUUGUGCUUAUAUCAUCAAUUUUUAUUGCCAUCAGGUUAUCUUCUAGAAUUGAUUUUACAUGUAAUGUAUUGAAAAUAGAUACUUGUGGUUGCCAUGGUUACAACUUGUUUCUUAAUGUUAUUAUAUUUAUUAUAUAUAUAAAUAUUAUAUUGCAUUAAAUUAACUUAUAUUGUUUUAAGAAAUAUAAUUCCACAACAUGUACAGAGACAAUAAAUACACUAGUUUGUAUUUUUGUCGCCAUGGCAACAUUUCUGUAUAUAUUUGUUACAUUUAUUGUUGUUGUUUUUUAACAAGAUUUUUCCAUUGGUGAAAUUAUAUUGUGUAUAAUGAGCAUAGCUACAAAAUGCAUAGAUACAUGACAAUACCUAUUUAUUGAUGUACAUUUUCUGAAUAUUUCGAUAAUAGAAGAGGUUUUGGACACUUAUUCCCCUUGGUCUUAAAUCACCGUAACAACGAAAGUUUUUAUCAUUCUGACUCUUUUUUUAAAUAUAUUGUAAAGUGACUGCCCAUACUUAGGCAAUUUAAGUACUUUAUAAGAGAUGCAUGUGUGAUCCCUUCAUGUUAUAUAUUAAAUUGCAUUUUAUUGUGGUUGUCAUGGUAACAUUUUGAUUGCCAUUCAAAACUUUUAUCAUGAUUUUACAAGAAUUUUGUCACCAGUUCAAUAAUAUGUUAUUUUAUGUAUGAAAUAUAACUACAAAUUAU